rnacentral:rRNA from 1 species
CAGAUCUAGCUUGCUAGAUGCUGACGAGCGGCGGACGGGUGAGUAAUGCAUAGGAAUCUGCCCGGUAGUGGGGGAUAACCUGGGGAAACCCAGGCUAAUACCGCAUACGUCCUACGGGAGAAAGGGGGCUCCGGCUCCCGCUAUUGGAUGAGCCUAUGUCGGAUUAGCUAGUUGGUGAGGUAAUGGCUCACCAAGGCGACGAUCCGUAGCUGGUCUGAGAGGAUGAUCAGCCACAUCGGGACUGAGACACGGCCCGAACUCCUACGGGAGGCAGCAGUGGGGAAUAUUGGACAAUGGGGGGAACCCUGAUCCAGCCAUGCCGCGUGUGUGAAGAAGGCCUUCGGGUUGUAAAGCACUUUCAGCGAGGAAGAACGCCUAGUGGUUAAUACCCAUUAGGAAAGACAUCACUCGCAGAAGAAGCACCGGCUAACUCCGUGCCAGCAGCCGCGGUAAUACGGAGGGUGCAAGCGUUAAUCGGAAUUACUGGGCGUAAAGCGCGCGUAGGUGGCUUGAUAAGCCGGUUGUGAAAGCCCCGGGCUCAACCUGGGAACGGCAUCCGGAACUGUCAAGCUAGAGUGCAGGAGAGGAAGGUAGAAUUCCCGGUGUAGCGGUGAAAUGCGUAGAGAUCGGGAGGAAUACCAGUGGCGAAGGCGGCCUUCUGGACUGACACUGACACUGAGGUGCGAAAGCGUGGGUAGCAAACAGGAUUAGAUACCCUGGUAGUCCACGCCGUAAACGAUGUCGACCAGCCGUUGGGUGCCUAGCGCACUUUGUGGCGAAGUUAACGCGAUAAGUCGACCGCCUGGGGAGUACGGCCGCAAGGUUAAAACUCAAAUGAAUUGACGGGGGCCCGCACAAGCGGUGGAGCAUGUGGUUUAAUUCGAUGCAACGCGAAGAACCUUACCUACUCUUGACAUCCUGCGAAUUUGGUAGAGAUACCUUAGUGCCUUCGGGAACGCAGAGACAGGUGCUGCAUGGCUGUCGUCAGCUCGUGUUGUGAAAUGUUGGGUUAAGUCCCGUAACGAGCGCAACCCUUGUCCUUAUUUGCC